rnacentral:rRNA from 1 species
CGUAUAUUUAAGUUGUUGCAGUUAAAAAGCUCGUAGUUGGAUUUCGGGUGGGGUGGUGCGGUCCGCCUCUGGUGUGCACUGCUCUGCUCCACCUUCCUGCCGGGGACGGGCUCCUGGGCUUCACUGUCUGGGACUCGGAGUCGGCGAGGUUACUUUGAGUAAAUUAGAGUGUUCAAAGCAGGCCUACGCUCUGAAUACAUUAGCAUGGAAUAACACGAUAGGACUCUGGCCUAUCUGUUGGUCUGUGGGACCGGAGUAAUGAUUAAGAGGGGUAGUCGGGGGCAUUCGUAUUCCGUUGUCAGAGGUGAAAUUCUUGGAUUUACGGAAGACGACCAUCUGCGAAAGCAUUUGCCAAGGAUACUUUCAUUGAUCAAGAACGAAAGUUGGGGGCUCGAAGACGAUUAGAUACCGUCGUAGUCUCAACCAUAAACGAUGCCGACUAGGGAUUGGCAGAUGUUCUUUUGAUGACUCUGCCAGCACCUUAUGAGAAAUCAAAGUUUUUGGGUUCCGGGGGGAGUAUGGUCGCAAGGCUGAAACUUAAAGGAAUUGACGGAAGGGCACCACCAGGCGUGGAGCCUGCGGCUUAAUUUGACUCAACACGGGGAAACUUACCAGGUCCAGACACGGGAAGGAUUGACAGAUUGAGAGCUCUUUCUUGAUUCUGUGGGUGGUGCAUGGCCGUUCUUAGUUGGUGGGUUGCCUUGUCAGGUUGAUUCCGGUAACGAACGAGACCUCAGCCUGCUAAAUAGUCAGCAUCGCACCUGCGGUGCGCCGACUUCUUAGAGGGACUAUU